rnacentral:rRNA from 1 species
UACGUAGGGACCGAGCGUUGUCCGGAAUCAUUGGGCGUAAAGAGCGUGUAGGCGGCCACUUAAGUCCUGCGUGAAAUCCUGCGGCUCAACCGCAGGCGGUCGUGGGAAACUGGGUGGCUAGAGUGCGGGAGAGGAGAGUGGAAUUCCUGGUGUAGCGGUGGAAUGCGCAGAUAUCGGGAGGAACACCUAUGGCGAAGGCAGCUCGCUGGGACGUUACUGACGCUGAGACGCGAAAGCGUGGGGAGCAAACAGG